UUGAACGUUCAUAUCACGUUAAAUACACUCGUUCUCGUCCGAUCACUGAAGUUAAGCAACGUCGAGUUUGAAGAAAACUUGGGAAUGAGCUGGAGCCAAAUUCCCGGAUAUACUUUACC
rfam:Asian citrus Psyllid, Diaphorina citri - Florida Strain, whole genome shotgun sequence.